rnacentral:rRNA from 1 species
GACGGAGGGUGCUAGCGUUGUUCGGAAUUACUGGGCGUAAAGGGCGCGUAGGCGGCCCUGUCAGUCGGGUGUGAAAGCCCGGGGCUCAACCCCGGAACGGCACCCGAGACGGCGGGGCUGGAGACCGGGAGAGGAGGGUGGAAUAGCCAGUGUAGAGGUGAAAUUCGUAGAUAUUGGCUGGAACACCGGUGGCGAAAGCGGCUCUCUGGCCCGGUUCUGACGCUGGGGCGCGAAAGCGUGGGGAGCAAACAGG